GAGUAAAGCGGCGAAAGGGUGAGUAACACGUAAUCAACGUACCCCUCAGAUCGGAAUAACCUCUGGAAACGGUGGGUAAUGCCGAAUGGUCCCAGGAGAGACAUCUCUCCAAGGGUAAACGGUGCCUUCGGGUGCUGCUGAGGGAGCGGGUUGCGGCCUAUCAGUUUGUUGGUGGGGUAACGGCCUACCAAGACGAUGACGGGUAGCGGGUCUGAGAGGAUGAUCCGUCACACUGGGACUGAGACACUGCCCAGACUCCUACGGGAGGCUGCAGUCGAGAAUCUUCCACAAUGGGCGAAAGCCUGAUGGAGCGACACCGCGUGCAGGAUGAAGGCCUUAGGGUUGUAAACUGCUGUCACGCUAUAGGAACCCAUGGUCGUUAAUAGCGGCCGUGCUGACCAAAGCGAGAGGAAGCGCCGGCUAACUCCGUGCCAGCAGCCGCGGUAAUACGGAGGGCGCAAGCGUAGUUCGGAUUUACUGGGCAUAAAGAGCACGUAGGCGGCUCGCUCAGUCAGGUGUGAAAGCCCACGGCUCAACCGUGGAACUGCACCUGAUACUGGCGAGCUUGAGGACGGAAGGGGUGAGUGGAACUCCAGGUGGAACGGUGAAAUGUAUAGAUAUCUGGAGGAACACCGGUGGCGAAAGCGGCUCACUGGUCCGUCUCUGACGCUGAGGUGCGAAAGCUAGGGUAGCGAACGGGAUUAGAUACCCCGGUAGUCCUAGCCGUAAACGAUGGGCACUAGGCAAUGGGCCCUCCUAUGAGGUUCA
rnacentral:rRNA from 1 species